GAUGAACGCUGGCGGCGUGCCUAAUACAUGCAAGUCGAGCGAAUGGAUUAAGAGCUUGCUCUUAUGAAGUUAGCGGCGGACGGGUGAGUAACACGUGGGUAACCCGCCCAUAAGACUGGGAUAACUCCGGGAAACCGGGGCUAAUACCGGAUAACAUUUUGAACCGCAUGGUUCGAAAUUGAAAGGCGGCUUCGGCUGUCACUUAUGGAUGGACGCGCGUCGCAUGAGCUAGUUGGUGAGGUAACGGCUCACCAAGGCAACGAUGCGUAGCCGACCUGAGAGGGUGAUCGGCCACACUGGGACUGAGACACGGCCCAGACUCCUACGGGAGGCAGCAGUAGGGAAUCUUCCGCAAUGGACGAAAGUCUGACGGAGCAACGCCGCGUGAGUGAUGAAGGCUUUCGGAUCGUAAAACUCUGUUGUUAGGGAAGAACAAGUGCUAGUUGAAUAAGCUGGCACCUUGACGGUACCUAACCAGAAAGCCACGGCUAACUACGUGCCAGCAGCCGCCGUAA
rnacentral:rRNA from 1 species